ensembl:scaRNA SCARNA7 small Cajal body-specific RNA 7
UGGAAAUGAUGAAAUAGAGAUAAUUGGGUGUUGAAUGUUGUGUGACUGGAAAAUUUUAAUGUGUAAGUUUAGUAAUUAAGUUUAAUAUUUUAUAGAUAAUCGAAUGUGUGUUUGUGUGUAUGUGUUCAUGGAGGCUAUUGAAAGGGGGCACUGAUUGGUGAUGCUGAUAUUGGAGUGCAUCUGAGGCUGUUGUAGAAAUACAUGGGCUGUUGAUUACAACAUUGCCGAUGAUUAUAACCCAAGAACAGCUCACCUAAGUAGCCUAGCACCCUAAAAUCUCUAACAGGUUCAUGAAACCUGUGAUCUGAUCCAA